AGCCACUGUGACAUCUCCCAGACCAGGACCUUCACCAGUGCCCAUGAAAGGCUGUGUAACUUCCAGCCUCCAAAACUGUACUUCCAGGAAAGGCACCAGAAGAUUUAAGGAUGCGAAUGACGUCACAAGAGGAAGCUUUGCUGGGACCUCCAAGGCUACGACAGAAUUCACCAGGCAGAGAGGAAACAGCAAUAAUGGUGGAUAACAGUGGCCAUGACCAUAUCCUAGAACAGUCCAUGCA